CCUACGGGUGGCAGCAGUGAGGAAUAUUGGUCAAUGGACGCGAGCCUGAACCAGCCAAGUAGCGUGAAGGAUGACUGCCCUACGGGUUGUAAACUUCUUUUAUAAGGGAAUAAAGUGAGGCACGUGUGCCUUUUUGUAUGUAUUUUAUGAAUAAGGAUCUGCUAACUCCGUGCCAGCAGCCGCGGUAAUACGGAGGAUCCGAGCGUUAUCCGAAUUUAUUGGGUUUAAAGGGAGCGUAGAUGGGUUGUUAAGUCAGUUGUGAAAGUUUGCGGCUCAACCGUAAAAUUGCAAUGGAUACUGGCAGCCUUGAGUACAGAUGAGGUAGGCGGAAUUCGUGGUGUAGCGGUGAAAUGCUUAGAUAUCACGAAGAACUCCGAUUGCGAAGGCAGCCUACUAAACUGCAACUGACAUUGAUGCUCGAAAGUGUGGGUAUCAAACAGGAUUAGAUACCCGGGUAGUC
rnacentral:rRNA from 1 species